rnacentral:tRNA from 1 species
AAGAAUUUAGUUAAAAAAUAACGUUAACUUGUCAAGUUAGAAUUAUUAAAAGUUAUGUUAAUAAUUUUUA